GUUCUGGAGGUUGGAGGAAGUCCAGAUCAAGGCACAGGCAGAUUCUGAGCGUCACACUCUUAAAGUGACUGCAGAGGCAAGAAAAGAGUCUCAGAUCCUUGAAGUUCCAGUCACCAGCGGUAACAGGUGUCCAACGUGCUGGGAACCAAACAUGGGUUCUCUGGAAGAGUGUGCAUGCUCUUCAUUCCUGAGUUAUCAAUGCAGCCCAUGACCUUACUCUCUAGAUACCAUGAGUGAUGCCACCUGACCUAAAAACAGACUCUUGGGACAUUAGUACUAUGAAGUGACACCCACCCUGGAAUGGAUCAAGUCGAACUGCAAUCAAAACUACAAACAACUGGUGUGGCUAGGUGUGGGAGCAUUGGGCUGGGGUGGA